rnacentral:lncRNA from 1 species
UAUACAAAUGCUAUAUAUGUAAUAAUAGUGCUCACAAUGGAUAACGUAAUAUAAACUAAUGUUUUGAUAACAAAUCAGUACGAGCGUAAUCGGAGAGAGUGUGUGUUGUGUUGCUUGUUUAUUGGAAAUUAUUAAGAUGGAGAGACUUCUCGUAAUGCUACUGCUGGCGACAACGAUAAACACAGCAGUGACAAGACAUAGAGUAACCCAAGAAGACUGUGACAAACUGGACAUAAGGAAGAUAAACCAUUAUUACUACGUGAAAGAUGCACCUGUCAACCUGACUGGUAUACCAUCGGAUUUCUCCGUGCAUUGGCGCUCAUCUAGAGUAUUCUUCACUCUAAUAAGUGACGAUUACUUAAGAAUGAAAAUCCAAGUCUUACGAGGCGCUAGAGUAGACACUAUCAAAAUGGAUGCUGUAGGUCAAUCAACUACAGUCGAUAAUUAUAACGAUGUCGUAUACAUCGCUACUGAUAAUGGUGUUUACAGAUAUAACACCGAUGGGACACUUGAACUGUACACAGCUGCGGGAGAAGAUGUUAUGUAUGUAGCCCUUUCUAAUGACGGAACCAAAAUGUAUAUAGCUACCUGGCCUCAGAAUAGAGUACAAAUCAUUACUAAUAAAGGGCAAAAGCAAGAAACUUUUACUUUAAUACCUAAUGGACAUGAUUUAAGGAUAGAUACUAUGAAUAACAUGUAUUUCGUUGCAUCUAAAACAUCUUACAUUUUGCAAGCAGGGAAUAAUAUACCAAUAAGAAUUAAAGGGUUGCCUACGAAUAAUAUGACUGGUAUUUUUGUGAAUAGGUCUGAUAGAGUAUACGGUAUGGAUGAAUCUGGGAAUAUGUAUAUAAUAGAUCCGGAUAAUGCUAAAGCUACCUUCCUAGGUUCGUUUAAUGUUAGUGGUGUAAAUGCCUUUGCUUUGGAUGCUUUAGAUAAUGUACUGAUAGGCGUGAAGGGAGCAAUUUUGAAAUACAAUAAGAUGGAUAAUUCUCCGUGCAGUGUUUUGCUGACGCUGAGUUAAGAUUUUGAGAAAGUUCAACAUUAUUGUUAAGAUUUAAUAAAGUUAAGUUCAUACAACUGAAAGUGCGAGAGUCUAUUUGAAUGUUUACUAAAUUAUAUUUAUUAUGAUAUUCAAAAUAGCGGACAAUUUUUAAAAUCAAGCUUUUAUACCUACACAUCAAUUAACCCUUCGUAUGCUUAGACACGGAUCCGUGCGUGGGAAUUUUAAUCUAUUGUUUUAAAUGUCAAGGUCGUAUUUUCAAUGAUCAAAAUUGACAGGCCGCAUACGAGGGGUUAAGUUAAAUACAAAUGUUCGUAUUCAUGUCACUGCUUUGUACACCACUUUAAAGACAGAUUGUAUGACUGUAUGUAUAGACUUAGAUAAACAUUUUAUUUUAUGUAUAAGCUUUAUUAUAUGUUGUAUUUGUACUAAAUCACAUGGGUAAUUAAUUAAUACACCAUUAUUAGAGAACAACACCAAAGCUUUAUUUCGCACACUAGACAUAUAUAUAUCACACUUUGACACAAUGUCAAAUAGGCCAUAAACUAUUACAGAUAUUUAUGAAAAGAAGUAUUUAUUGCUGCUACAUUAAUUACAUUAUAUACUACUCAAAAGAAAAUAAGGGCCGUUGUUAAUUUCAGUGACUGCAGGAAUACUAAUUUCAUGUUUAUUAAAAUAUUGGAAACUAUUGACAACUUAUUUAAAUUUGAUUAGCCUUAAUAACAACAAAGCUUUGUUCUAUUGAUUUUUAAAAUAUAUACAGGCUGUUUUGUGAAAAUGAAAACUACAGGUUGUUUAUAAUGUAUGAAUUUUUUUAAAGUUGCUACUUUCUCCGACCACUAAAAAUUCCGAUAUCCACCUCAGUGGCCCUUAUUUUCUUCUGAGUAAUUAGUAUAGAAAAUAAAAAUACAUUUGUAAAAUGGAUUUUAAAUGAAUAAAUCAUUUUAUAAUUGC